GACGAACCGUGCGAACGUUGUUCGGAAUCACUGGGCUUAAAGGGCGCGUAGGCGGGCAAGCAAGUCCGGGGUGAAAUCUUUCGGCCCAACCGGAAAAGGGCCUUGGAUACUGCUUGUCUGGAGGGAGGUAGGGGCAGACGGAACUUCCGGUGGAGCGGUGAAAUGCGUUGAUAUCGGGAGGAACACCAGAGGCGAAAGCGGCGCACUGGACAGUAACUGACACUCAGCUGCGAAAGCGUGGGGAGCAAACAGG
rnacentral:rRNA from 1 species